rnacentral:rRNA from 1 species
CCUACGGGUGGCAGCAGUGGGGAAUAUUGCACAAUGGGGGAAACCCUGAUGCAGCGACGCCGCGUGAAGGAAGAAGUUUUUCGGUAUGUAAACUUCUAUUAGCAGGGAAGAAAAUGACGGUACCUGACUAAUAAGCACCGGCUAACUACGUGCCAGCAGCCGCGGUAAUACGUAGGGGGCAAGCGUUAUCCGGAUUUACUGGGGGUAAAGGGAGCGUAGGCGGGCCAGUAAGUCAGAGGUGAAAGCCCGGAGCUGAACUACAGGACUGCUUUUGACACUGUUGAACUAGAGUGUAGGAGAGGUAAGUGGAAUUCGUGGUGUAGGGGUGAAAUGCGUAGAUAUUAGGAGGAACACCAGUGGCGAAGGCGACUUACUGGAAUAUAAAUGACGCUGAGGCUCGAAAGCGUGGGGAGCAAACAGGAUUAGAUACCCGAGUAGUC